AUUGAACGCUGGCGGCAUGCUUUACACAUGCAAGUCGAACGGUAACAGGGAGCUUGCUCCGCUGACGAGUGGCGAACGGGUGAGUAAUAUAUCGGAACGUACCCAAGAGUGGGGGAUAACGUAGCGAAAGUUACGCUAAUACCGCAUACGAUCUAUGGAUGAAAGCAGGGGACCUUCGGGCCUUGUGCUCCUGGAGCGGCCGAUAUCUGAUUAGCUAGUUGGUGAGGUAAAGGCUCACCAAGGCGACGAUCAGUAGCUGGUCUGAGAGGACGACCAGCCACACUGGAACUGAGACACGGUCCAGACUCCCACGGGAGGCAGCAGUGGGGAAUUUUGGACAAUGGGCGCAAGCCUGAUCCAGCAAUGCCGCGUGAGUGAAGAAGGCCUUCGGGUUGUAAAGCUCUUUUGUCAGGGAAGAAACGGCUGUGGCUAAUAUCCACGGCUAAUGACGGUACCUGAAGAAUAAGCACCGGCUAACUACGUG
rnacentral:rRNA from 1 species